rnacentral:lncRNA from 1 species
AGUGGAAUACCAACUUCAUGUACACUUGGCUUAUUCAGCACCCAUAAAAUUCAAUGGACCACCAUCCGGACAAAAGGAUAAAAACAGAACACAUCAAGAUAAUGAAUUUUCUUCAAACUACUGAGGUACAAUGAAAAAUGGAAAUAUUAUCUCAGAAAUUACAACAGAGGGAUGAAGAUAUAGCAUAUGCUGUACCUAAAAGAUACAUCAAAUGGGAUAUUGGGAAUAUGGAUUGAUGAAAUUUAAUUUACGAUUGUCCUAUAAUGCCUUUUCAUUACAGUACCACACAAAUUGAGGCAAUAAAUGUAUAUUUGAUCAAAAAA